rnacentral:rRNA from 1 species
UACGUAGGGGCCUAGCGUUGUCCGGAUUUAUUGGGCGUAAAGAGCUCGUAGGCGGUUUGGUGAGUCGGGUGUGAAAUCUCCACGCUCAACGUGGAGGGGCCACCCGAUACUGCCAUGACUAGAGUCCGGUAGGGGAGUGUGGAAUUCCCGGUGUAGCGGUGAAAUGCGCAGAUAUCGGGAGGAACACCAGUAGCGAAGGCGCCACUCUGGGGCCGGUACUGACGCUGAGGAGCGAAAGCGUGGGUAGCAAACAGG